UGCCUAAUACAUGCAAGUCGAGCGGAAGUCAGGGAGCUUGCUCCUUGACUUUAGCGGCGGACGGGUGAGUAACACGUGGGCAACCUGCCUGUAAGACUGGGAUAACUUCGGGAAACCGGAGCUAAUACCGGAUAACUCUUUGCUCCACAUGGAGUGAAGAUAAAAGAUGGUUUCGGCUAUCACUUACAGAUGGGCCCGCGGCGCAUUAGCUAGUUGGUGAGGUAACGGCUCACCAAGGCGACGAUGCGUAGCCGACCUGAGAGGGUGAUCGGCCACACUGGGACUGAGACACGGCCCAGACUCCUACGGGAGGCAGCAGUAGGGAAUCUUCCGCAAUGGACUAAAGUCUGACGGAGCAACGCCGCGUGAGCGAUGAAGGCCUUCGGGUCGUAAAGCUCUGUUGUUAGGGAAGAACAAGUACCAGUUAACUACUGGUACCUUGACGGUACCUAACGAGAAAGCCACGGCUAACUACGUGCCAGCAGCCGCGGUAAUACGUAGGUGGCAAGCGUUGUCCGGAAUUAUUGGGCGUAAAGCGCGCGCAGGCGGUACUUUAAGUCUGAUGUGAAAGCCCACGGCUCAACUGUGGAGGGUCAUUGGAAACUGGAGUACUUGAGUGCAGAAGAGGAGAGCGGAAUUCCACGUGUAGCGGUGAAAUGCGUAGAGAUGUGGAGGAACACCAGUGGCGAAGGCGGCUCUCUGGUCUGUAACUGACGCUGAGGCGCGAAAGCGUGGGGAGCGAACAGGAUUAGAUACCCUGGUAGUCCACGCCGUAAACGAUGAGUGCUAAGUGUUGGAGGGUUUCCGCCCUUCAGUGCUGCAGCUAACGCAUUAAGCACUCCGCCUGGGGAGUACGGUCGCAAGACUGAAACUCAAAGGAAUUGACGGGGGCCCGCACAAGCGGUGGAGCAUGUGGUUUAAUUCGAAGCAACGCGAAGAACCUUACCAGGUCUUGACAUCCUCUGACAAUCCUAGAGAUAGGACUUUCCCUUCGGGGACAG
rnacentral:rRNA from 1 species